rnacentral:rRNA from 1 species
UGGGGAAUUUUGCACAAUGGGGGAAACCCUGAUGCAGCGACGCCGCGUGAUUUAGAAGGCCUUCGGGUUGUAAAAAUCUUUUCUAUGGGAAGAAAAUGACAGUACCAUAGGAAUAAGUACCGGCUAAUUACGUGCCAGCAGCCGCGGUAAUACGUAAGGUCCGAGCGUUGUCCGGAAUCAUUGGGCGUAAAGGGUACGUAGGCGGGUAAGCAAGUUAGAAGUGAAAUCCUAUAGCUCAACUAUAGUAAGCUUUUAAAACUGCUCAUCUUGAGGUAUGGAAGGGAAAGUGGAAUUCCUAGUGUAGCGGUGAAAUGCGCAGAUAUUAGGAGGAAUACCGGUGGCGAAGGCGACUUUCUGGCCAUAACCUGACGCUGGGGUACGAAAGCGUGGGUAGCAAACAGG